ensembl:lincRNA
GGUGUGGUCUGAGCUUCUCCACCUCAGGCCACAUCGGCUCCCUGGUCCCUGUGGUCCGAGGCUUCCUCCUGCCCUGUGUGUUCCGUGGACAGGGUGGUUCUGACCUCCUGGCUGAGGCUCUGUCCAUCUCCCAGCCCAGAGGCCGGCACCCAGGAACAGAGGCCUGCAGAAGACCUCACUCCUGCCCGAGGACCCAGCCUCCCUGCCUGCCGCCCCUCACGGCCACCUGACACCUCCUUGUGUGCCCAGCUCCAGCCCAGCAGCCGCCCAGGAAGGAAACCUCUAUGCCACCGUGAAGGACACAGAGCCUGAGGACGGGGUGGAGCUGGACACUCGGAGCCCACCUGCUGAGGACCCCCGAGGAAUGAUGUAUGCCCAGGUGAAGCACUCAGCACCCAGGAGGAGAAGGACCUCCCCUCCUUUGGCCCUGUCAGGGCAGCUCCUGGUCACUAAGGACAGACAGGCUGUGGCCCCUCAGAGUCCCCAGGACGUGACCUAUGCCCAGCUGGGCAGCUGGACGCUCAGACAGGGGGCAGCUGCACCUCCUUCCUCCCAGGAUGGGGCCCUCCCAGCAGAGCCCACUGUGUACGCUGCCCUGGCACCCACUCGCCCAGGAGCCGGUCAAAAGACGCUAAGUGACGCCUCGGCCAGGGACACCUGACAGAGACUCCAGAGAUUCCGGGACCUUCUGAGACUCACCUGACCCUGUGGUCAGAGAGAUCUCACACCUCUGUGUGCUGGAACUAAAACCAGAGAUUCUCCAAUAGCCACCGAGUGAAUGAGAAAUGGAAUCAUGGGAGAGGAGGUGUGAAAUGACUGAUAACGUUAAUGACAGCAGACAGCAAAAUACUCUCUAUAACUCAAUGAAUCCAGCUAUGAUGUAAAAACUUUUAGAAAAAGAAUGUGGAAUUGCUCUAAGUAAAGGUAAAGAUAAAAGAUUAGCUCCCCCCUGGGGAGAGUUGGCACAUAUUUCAACAUAGAGAAAGAGCAGAUAGCAUGACACGUUACCUACGUUUUAAAAGAAUAAUAGCGAAAAAUUAUGAGCAACUUUUCCAACAUAUUAGAAGUACAAGAUCUCCAAGUACAUGAUGGACUACAUGGAGGUAAAUAUAAAUAGAAAAUCUGAAUCCUUUCAUGUACACUAAACCUAUUGACAGUAAUUUAAAAAUCUCAAGCCAGGCGUGGUGGCUCACGGCUGUAAUCUCAGAACUCAGGAGGCUGAGGCAGGAGGAUCAUUGCAAAUUCAAGACCAGCCUGGGCUACAAAGUGAGUUCAAGGCCAGCCUGAACUGCAUAGUGGGACCCAGUCUCAAAAACACACACACAAAAAAAAUCCUAGUUCAAGUUGUAGUUCAGAAAGUGUUGCUAGAAAUUUCUCACCCACAUUUACACAAUUAUGACACAGGCACAGUUCCAAGCUUAGAGGCUCUUCUGGCAGCUACAAAAAGAGAAAAUAUAGUCCUACACAUUUCAUCAGGCAAGGAAAUCCCUCAUGCCAAACCUCAACAAGGAAUCCACAAAAUGGGGGAGUCACAGGAAUCGUGUCUCCUGUCCACUUACAUGUGACUUCCUAGAAAGAAUUCAAAUUCCAGCCACUUGGGAGGCUGAGGCAAGAGGAUCUCAAGUCUGAUGCCAGCCUGGGCUGCACGGUGAGAUGUUGUCUCAGAAUAAAAUAAAAGCCCUGGGAAUGUGGCUCAGUGUCAUUCCCUUAGUUCAAACACCAGCGCUACAAAAAAAAUUUUUGAAGGUUUAGAGAUACAGUAAGACCCCAACUUACAAGUGAGUUCCAUUCUGGGAGAAUGUUUGUAAAUUGGAUUCUCUGUCAUCUGACAAAGAGUGUCUUACACGGUACACUGUGAAAGUUUCCAAGUGGAAUGUUCCUAAGUCAGGGAGUUAGUGCAUAUAAAAAGGCAAUAUAUCACUGCCGCACUAGGAUUCUUCUUGUUUGGUUUGGCUUGGUUUGGUUUGGUUUGGUUAGAAAGGCUAGAGUAGCUGCAAAUGUAAAUAUUUAAUCAACACAAUCAAACACAGUACCAGAUCACGUCGGUGUUACCACAUCCAUGCAUGCAGGCAAGGCUUCCCGCACGCUACGCCGAUCCCUCACAGUCAAAGUAAAACCUCAUGAGAACUUGAAGGAAUUUCCUGUCAUUACAGAGGCAUGUUUAAAGUCUCCCUGACCAGCAUCUUCAAGGUGAGACUUGAAGUCUGAGCCUGGGCUUAGGACCAAGCCAAGGCUGCUCCUGUGACCACUGCCCCUGGCACAGCCCCAGCAGUAGCAGCGUUAGGUAAACCGAGCUGAGGAGCACUGAUGUGGCAAGAGUAACGUCGCAUCACUCACCUAAGACACAGCAGUGAGCACAGGACCCCCAGCAGCACAAGGAUGCUUUACUGCGGCUAGAAGGGAAUAUUUCCAAUAAAAGUGGAGCCCACGGCCAAUAUACAAAAAUCAAUUGUGCUGCAGACUUGCAGGUCCUUUUACAUCUCAAUUAUUUCACUUUUUAUUUGCAUAUAUUUAUUUUAUUUUAUUUUACAGAAGAAAACAAAAUUUCAUAACCAAAUAAGAGAAUAACACUAAUUAGUGCACAGUGUUUCAUAAUCUUAAGGGUAGUUAGAGUACAUGACAUGGACAGGAAAGACUCUUACAAGGAAAAAUAAAUAAUAAUUGUUUCAUGCUGUUUGUAUUACUAUUAUUUUUCAAUAGAACUUCAAAUCUGAGACUGUGAUGUCUCCUGCUUUGCUCUUGUCAUCCAGAAUUGAUUUUGCCAUUCAGGGUCAUUCCUGACUCCAUAUGAAAUUUAACAUUAUUUUAUCUAGUUCUAUCAACAACUCUGUUGUAAUUUUAAUGGGAUUGUGUUAGAUCUGUGUGUCAGUUUUGUAAAUAUGGCUAUUUUGGGUUUUGUUUUGUUUUGGUUUGGUUUGGUUUGGUUUGGUUUUUUUUUUCCGGUACUGGGAAUCAAACUCACAACUUUGUGCUUGCCAGGCAGGCGCUGUGCUACUGAGCUAAAUCCUCAGCCCCAGUAUGGCUAUUUUGAAACUCCUGGUUCUGCCUGCCCAGGAGAAGGGGAUAUCUUUCUAAUUUCUGAUCUUCCCUUUGAAUUCCUUUUUCAGAGUUCUAUAGUAUUCAUUAUAGAAGCCUUUCCCUUCCUGGUUUAGAUUAAUUCCUGGUGUUCUGUAAGCCAUGGAAAAUGAGAAGGGAGAGAUUAAAGUGAGAUGAAGGAUGCUAUGAAGCAGUCAAAGGAAAUUGAUAUUAUUAGACAAAAGUAAAAAAAAAAAAAAAACUAAAAGAAGAGAAGGAACACAAAGCAA